rfam:Salmo salar isolate Sally breed double haploid chromosome ssa02, whole genome shotgun sequence.
UGCAUUCAUGACUGUAAGUUGCGUUGGAUAAAAGCAUCUGCUAAAUGGCAUAUA